GACGAACGCUGGCGGCGUGCUUAACACAUGCAAGUCGAACGGAAAGGCCUGCUUUCCCUUGUGGAUUGCGGGUACUCGAGUGGCGAACGGGUGAGUAACACGUGAGUGAUCUGCCCCCAACUUGGGUAUAAGCCUGGGAAACUGGGUCUAAUUCCCGAUAGGACUGCAGGGUGGUGCCUGUGGUGGAAAACGAUUUUCUAGUGGUUGGGGAUGAGCUCGCGGCCUAUCAGCUUGUUGGUGGGGUAAUGGCCUACCAAGGCGGCGACGGGUAGCCGGCCUGAGAGGGUGGACGGCCACAGUGGGACUGAGAGACGGCCCAGACUCCUACGGGAGGCAGCAGUGGGGAAUAUUGCACAAUGGGCGGAAGCCUGAUGCAGCGACGCCGCGUGGGGGAUGACGGCCUUCGGGUUGUAAACUCCUUUCGACAGCGAGGAAGCCACCUGGUUGGAAGGGUGGUGACGGUAGUGGUAGAAGAAGCACCGGCUAACUACGUG
rnacentral:rRNA from 1 species